rnacentral:rRNA from 1 species
AGAGUUUGAUCCUGGCUCAGGAUGAACGCUGGCGGUGUGCCUGAGAUAUGCAAGUCGAGCGGGAAUAUUUUUUUGAAGUCGCAAGAUGGAUGAAAGAUGUUUCAGCGGCGGACGGCUGAGUAACACGUAAGAAUCUCCCCCAAAGUCUCACAUAGCUCUCCGAAAGGAGGGGUAAUUUGAGAUGGUCUCUCCCCUUAAAAGGAGUGUAAAGCAGCAAUGCGCUCUGGGAUGAGCUUGCGUCCUAUCAGGUAGUUGGUGAGGUAAAAGCUCACCAAGCCUACGACGGGUAGAUGGUCUCAUGAGGAUGACCAUCCAGAAGGGGACUGAGACACGGCCCCUACUCCUACGGGAGGCAGCAAUCAGGAAUAGUCGGCAAUGGACGAAAGUCUGACCGCGCGACACCGCGUGUGUGAUGAAGGUUCACAAGAUCGUAAAACACUGUGGAGGGGGAAGAGAAAGGACGGUACCCCUCUAGAAAGUAGCCGCUAACUGCGUGCCAGAAGCGUCGGUAAUACGUGGGCUACGAGCGUUAUCCGGUGUUAUUGGGCAUAAAGGGUCGUGUAGGCGGAUGUGUAAGUCACUUUUCAAAUCUCCGGGCUCAACUCGGAAACUGGAAGUGAGACUGCAUGUCUAGAAGUUGCUUAAGGGAGAACGGAACUGUGGGAGGAGUAGUGAAAUGCGUUGAUACCCACGGGAACACCAGUGGCGAAGGCGGUUCUCUAGAAGCAUCUUGACGCUGAGACACGAAAGUUGGGGGAGCGAAGCAGAUUAGAGACCUGCGUAGUCCCAACUGUAAACGC